rnacentral:misc_RNA from 1 species
UCUGACCACCCUGGCGAUUGAU